CCCCUCGAGAGUGGCGAACGGGUGAGUAAUAUAUCGGAACGUGCCCAGUCGUGGGGGAUAGCGUAGCGAAAGUUACGCUAAUACCGCAUACGAUCUACGGAUGAAAGCGGGGGAUCGCAAGACCUCGCGCGAUUGGAGCGGCCGAUAUCAGAUUAGGUAGUUGGUGAGGUAAAGGCUCACCAAGCCAACGAUCUGUAGCUGGUCUGAGAGGACGACCAGCCACACUGGAACUGAGACACGGUCCAGACUCCUACGGGAGGCAGCAGUGGGGAAUUUUGGACAAUGGACGCAAGUCUGAUCCAGCCAUUCCGCGUGCAGGAUGAAGGCCCUCGGGUUGUAAACUGCUUUUGUACGGAACGAAAAGGUCUCUCUUAAUACGGGGGGCUCAUGACGGUACCGUAAGAAUAAGCACCGGCUAACUA
rnacentral:rRNA from 1 species